CCAUCAAGCCGUCAGACCAAAAAUAAUUAUAUUCGAAAAUAAGUUAUUUCUUUUAGUGUUUUCAGAAAUUAUAUUCGAAAAUAAGUUGAAAACCAUAUUUUAUUUGAAAAAUCUACUGGCGGCAGAUCGACAUGGGAUCCUACAUCCUGUGUUAGAGGAAAACCCACACGACGCACUUCCAAACCCGGAAGUUAGGAGUGAUAUCACAUCUAACUCUGAUCAGAGGUGUACUGCUUUUCCCAUAGCAUCACUUGGUCAAUCCUCGUCGGCGCACUAAUCAUAUGCACACGACUAGACCAAGGAACCAGAACCAGAACCAGCCCGUACACUACCUCUGUUUCGCCACCUUGCCUUACGUAGGCCCGCGGGUCGAGACCCCUGACCGGUAGGUCCCGCCCUAGGGUGUCUGCACCUACCUGGAUACAGUCAACUUCUCACCCGGGCAGAGGCAGCUACUUGGCGUGGUUCGGCUCAGCCUGUCCCAUUCCAGGUCUAUGGUCAGUACGGUCUGCGUCGCUUUUGAUGUAAUCGCCAGUUGGUUUGUCCUUAUAUGGUUUCCCUAUGUAGAAGAGCUCUGACUUUCCGCCAACCCUAUCCGGGUUGCUCCGAACCCUGGGCUCCCUACCCACCGAAUUACACUUAAGCCGUAACCCUGUCCGGGUCGGCCCACCUAGUACUGACCAUACUAGUGGAUACACCGGAUCCACUUACAUAUUUAUUUAUAAAUCUUAUUUUUGGGUGGCAUGCAAGAAUUUCGAAAUAAGCCGAGUUUCAUAAAUCAUGUUCGAAGACAUGUUCAAGAGAUGCGACUUGCCUGGUACCGCUCCGGUCAACUCAAAAAUACCGUCCGGGUAUCCUACUUGUCUGGAGUCAACUCCUAAUAUUUAAUUCAUACACAUGUUUAACAAAAGUUUCUAACCAACAAAGUAAUAAGGGAAAAUAAAAAUAAAAAGCAUACGUGCAACAACUUACACUAGUUUUCCUAUUCUAUAUCUAAGCCAAACAAAUGAGAGGAAUAAACAUGUGUGUAUGUGUGUGUGUAGCAGAAACCAGCAGCAAGUAGUACUAAUCCACCCAGCGUGUCAUCGAUUUGUGAAGACAAAAGAAAAAAAAUAAAAAAAAAUAAAGCACUGCGCAGACAAACUUCACCGACUGCAUCUAUUCUCCUCCUCCUCCUUUUUUUCUCUUGUUCCCUGCCUCUCUUUCCCCGUUCUCUCCCGAGCGAGCGCAGUAUGCCGCCACCAGCUCGAUCUCCCUGCUCCGGCCAUGUCUGGCGACUACGAGGCCAGCUCCGGGUUCCUCUCUCCUUCCUCUACUAGAUCCCCAACUUAAUUUCUACCAAUCAACAUCUACUCGUCCCAAAUUUGUAAACCUAGUUCUUGGGCUGCCAUGGCCGGCGCCGUCUACCUCGGCUCCGGCGAGGUCCACCACGUCGUCUCCCUGCUACUACGGUGCUCCUCCACCUACUGGUCGUCUACACGCUGAGCUACAAUACCAACAAGGAGGUGCGAUGGCGUCAAGGCGCCGUCACCGGCGACGGGGAAGCUGGGGCUACACUUCCUCCUCCCCAGCUCGCCGGCGUUGGGACCGGGCAGUCCGGCGUGCGCGGCCUACUGCUAAGUUCCCCUAACAGACAAGUUAAGUCCCUCUCUCUCCUUGACAGCAAGUUCUACUCUUCGUGGUUGCUUGUAGUAUUAGGUGGUCAAUUAAGGAAAAUUAAUAUGUGAGUGUUGCUUGAUUUACUUGAGCUGACUAUGUUCUGUUCGUUUUUGAAAAAGAUAAUACUUGUUAACAUGCAGAGGAUUUGAUUUAGUAACUCAACACCAUGUGCAUGAGAACAAAAAGAUGCUGAUAAACUAGGGUAAAAUAUAUCCUAACAAUGUACUGCCAUGUAUCUAAGUGCUAAAUUCUACUGAACAAGCAGAUGCACACAAGAGCAAACAAAAUAGUGAUUAAUCUAGCAAAGUGAUUAUGUGAUCUAGUUCUAAACAGUAGCAGGGUGAGGGUAUUAUUUUUCUCUUAAGCAUUGUGUUUUACUCCUAAUCACUUAAUGUGCUACUCAGACAUGCAUUUUAAUCCACAGUAAUGUGCCAGCAAUUUCAUUCAAGAGCAUGCAAAGGCAAAUUAAAGUGACAUUAUAUUUUACCUUCAAUACACAACAGUAGCACACAACAGGAAGAAGCAGCAGCACACAACAGCAAGCAGCAGCAAUGGAGCCAGGUGAAGGAAAGUGUUCGGUGGAAAGGUGGUGAAAAGGUCACAGGAGAAAAAAAAAAGUACUCCCUAUUUAUAGGAGGUAUUGUACUGUGUACCAUGAUGACAGGUGUUGGAAAAAAUGGAUGCAUGGUGCACAGGUGUGUGCUAGAAUGUGCCAAAUGGCAUUCAUACACUUGGGCCCACAAAAAGAUUUCUUUGCUGCUAAGAAAUUGUCCAAGGGCUGAAAUGUAAAAUUGAAAAUGACUUUUUUGAAAUUUUCGAAAUACUUGUUUGUAAUAAAAACUUUGUAUUAUUUUUGUGAUAUAAGGUGUUAGAAAGAUGUAAUUUGAGUUUUAGAAACCUGGGUUUCACACUCCCUUGGCUUAUCACAUGAAUUACAAGUUCCUGAAUUUGCAGUCCGUCCUGACGAUCUGGGAGGAGCUGGACUACUUCAAGGAAUACGCGGCCAGGCUCAGGGGCUUCCAGGGAGAGGAGAAGGCGGCACAGACGCUCGCGGAGGCGCUGUACGUGGUGAGCAUGGGCACCAACGACUUCCUGGAGAACUACUACGCCGUGCCGCAGGGCCGCGCCUCCCAGUACCCGACAGCGGCGGCGUACGGCCGGGACUACCUGCUGGGCGCGCCGGGGUCGUUCGUGCGCGCGCUGCACGCGCUCGGGGCGCGCAAGCUGGACCUUAACGGGCUCCCGCCCAUGGGCUGCCUCCCCAUGGAGAGCGCCCUCGUGGGCCUACGAUGACGUCGCCGUGGGCUUCAACGAUGGCCGACGCGGGGAAGUUCGCCUUCUAGGACGCUAUCCACCCCACGGAGCGCCUCCACCGCGCCCUGGCCGACGCCAAGAUGAACGCCACGCUCCACGUCUUCCUGUGAUGACGCUACGCUCGGAAGUUCGAUUUCACAUAAAUCACGCUCGCUCCGCCGGAGAUGCUUUCAGACGCCGAUUCACGGGGGAGCUAGAUCAUUUCACUGGUGUCAGUUGACACCAAUGAUUUUCGAUAAAACCUUAUAACUAUAGCACAAAAUUGAAAUUGGCACCAUCCAAAAUAGUUACAAACCAGUGCAAUUAAGCUCUUGACAUCAACAGUUGUUUAUCCUGGAUUCACCCUGCUCCGGUUCCUUCCCGCUACCUAUGAAAAGUCUUUGAUCCCUUUCCCUGAUUACCUCCCCCGCCCGGCCGCGUCACUAGAUCGGAAGAUUUAUAUGGUGGAAACAGAUGAGUUCAACUAUUUACGAAAAAGCUUACAAAUAUCUGGCAUUGAGCUUCCGACUAAGCAACUUUCCAUUCUCACACUACCACAUUUUCACUAAUACACCGCCAAAUUCGGCCAACACAACACUAACUAUAAAAGUAUCUACAGAUAUUACUCAAACUUACAAAAAAAUCUAAAACAAAUCAAGGACUAAACUGCAGGAACUUGCAGUACACCUCCUUGAUCGAUUCGAAACUCGAAACGGAGGUGAGAUGGUGAUGGGGAUCACCGUCAUUGAUUCGUGAAGCUGAAAGAAGAUGGAUGGGGAAGUGGCUCCUCAGACGUACGUUAAGUCAUGUGAGAGCAUGACCGGAUCUCCCUCCGACACAUGGGGUUAGCUAAGUAUAUUCUAGAGAGGAGAAAAGGGAUUAUAAAUUAGGAGAAUGUAGUUUUGCGUUGGUAUUGGGGUCAUGCUGGGUCACGGCGGAGUUUUAGGCCGGCGUCCCCUCAUACGGCCGUAAAAAGUGGCAGGCCGGACACAGGUCACGGCCGGAGAUGCUCUGAGGCGAUAGUCCAACCAUCUAUUUACACUUUCAAAUCUUACGGGCUCGACCUGUUUCUCCGUAAUGCCGAAGGCGAAGAAGUCCUAUGGUUCGGUGAAUGAGAAGGUAGUAGAGAGUUGACGCAUGUCAUCGAGUACUAGUACUCCCUGUAUGGCUGUAUCAUAGGCUGCCCAAUUCUAAAUUUCAAAAUUCAAUCUGCAAGCGAAGCGAAGCGAGCAAAGAAGCUGCUGACCUUGCAUGCAUGCCACGCUGUACCCCAUCUCACUCGCAUCACAUCUCCUCUAUUUAUUACCACAACGAUUCGCAGCUUCUCGCGCCCCGGCCCAUCACUCUCCCUUAUUACUACACCGCAUAAACCACCAGUCGGCCGGCGCUCGCCGCCGAGCUCGAGCUCCCCUCCCAUGGCGUCCGGCCAUUCCCACGUCCACACUGCGGCGCCGCUGCUGCAGCUGCUGCUUGUAACAACAAUAACGCUGAUGUGCGUUCCCAAGGGUAGUAGCAGCGGCAGCGCAACAGCGGAAGAGC
rnacentral:lncRNA from 1 species